rnacentral:lncRNA from 1 species
CACGAUCAAGAGCUCCUGCUGUGGCUCAGCUGUUAAUGAAUCUGACUAGCAUCCAUGAGGACGCAGGUUCAAUCCCUGACCCUGCUCAGUGGGUUAAGGAUCGAUCCAGUGUUGGCAUGAGCUGUGGUGUAGGUCGCAGAUGCGGCUCAGAUCCCGCGUUGCCGUGGCUGGGUGUAGGCUAGUGGCUUCUGAUUCGACCCUAGCCUGGGAACCUCCAUAUGCGGCCCUGAAAAAAAAAAUAAAAGGAAGACAGAAGAUGUCAAGAUCAGGUCUUAUAUUGCAUCUUUCUUGGGUUUCACUGGCUUGGAUAAUACUAAAUUUUCUCUUGUACUUACUUAAUACCACUUACUUAGAGACUCUGCAAUCACACUUAUUAUUCUACCCUUUCCUUUCACUUAGGACAAUGGCUUUUUACCUUGCUGUUUACCAGCCAAUCACUUACCACUUACUUAGAGACUCUGCAAUCACACUUAUUAUUCUACCCUUUCCUUUCACUUAGGACAAUGGCUUUUUACCUUGCUGUUUACCAGCCAAUCACUAUAUGUUUUUCAAUGUGAACUCACCAUAAGAAAAAGGGGAAAAAGAAAAGAGGAAGAUAAACAGGAUAGCAGCAUUAUUUUUCCCCAUUUUUUUAAAACCACUUCCUUGACUUAAUCUUCAGACUCUAGGUUACCUAAAGGAAGACAGUCAUGUAAAGUAUUUCAGGUGUGGCCUCACAGAGGAAUCAUUAGUGUCUGGCUUCAUGAUGAGGUUGCCUAUCCCUAGCUAGCCAAAAAUAGAACAAGUCACUGUCCUGCAAUUACUGCUUUAUAAAGUUUAUUGAAUCCAUUACUCACUUUCACUCUUACCCAUCCUGGUUUCUCCUGACCACAAAUAAUCUGUUCUUAGUGUAUACUCACAAGUCCUAACCCAACAAUGCUAAGUUUGUAUUUAUUAAAAUCACUGUCCCUUUAGCUUUACUUUUUACUUCCUCAUCCUCACAGCCAUUUAUAACACCUAUCACCUUUGGUAAAUUAGUUAAAUAUUUAAUCAAGAGCUGAACACAAACGACAAAUAUUAAACUUUUAACAAAUACUAAAUACCUAAUCCCCAAGAGGAAAUGCUACAUUUUUAAUUUCCUUAAGUCUCAGAUAAAAACCCU